rnacentral:rRNA from 1 species
UACAGAGGGUGCGAGCGUUGUCCGGAAUCACUGGGCGUAAAGGGCGCGUAGGUGGUGACCUAAGCGUGCGGUGAAAGCCCGGGGCUCAACUCCGGAACUGCCUUUAAGACUGCAUCGCUUGAAUCCAGGAGAGGUGAGUGGAAUUCCGAGUGUAGAGGUGAAAUUCGUAGAUAUUCGGAAGAACACCAGUGGCGAAGGCGGCUCACUGGACUGGUAUUGACGCUGAGGUGCGAAAGCGUGGGGAGCAAACAGG